rnacentral:rRNA from 1 species
GUAGGACCACCAGUGGCGAAGGCGUCAGACUGGAACGCGCCUGACGGUGAGGGACGAAAGCCAGGGGAGCGAACCGGAUUAGAUACCCGGGUAGUCCUGGCCGUAAACGAUGCACACUAGAUGAUGGUGCGGCCAUGAGCCGUAUCAGUGUCGUAGGGAAACCGUUAAGUGUGCCGCCUGGGAAGUACGGUCGCAAGGCUUAAACUUAAAGGAAUUGGCGGGGGAGCACCACAAGGGGUGAAGCCUGCGGUUCAAUUGGACUCAACGCCGGGCAACUUACCAGGGGAGACAGCAGAAUGAAGGUCAGGUUGACGACCUUACCUAACAAGCUGAGAGGAGGUGCAUGGCCGUCGCCAGUUCGUGCUGUGAGGUAUCCUGUUAAGUCAGGCAACGAACGAGACCCGUGCCUUUAUUUGCCAUCAAGAAGUCACGACUUCGUUGGGAACGAUAAAGGGACUGCCGUCGAUAAGACGGAGGAAGGAGCGGGCAAAGGCAGGUCAGUAUGCCCCGAAACCCCUGGGCUACACGCGGGCUGCAAUGGUGCGAACAAUGGGCUGUGACUCCGACAGGAGAAACCAAUCCCGAAAUCGCAUCUCAGUUGGGAUUGUCAACUGUAACCCGUUGACAUGAACGUGGAUCCCUAGUAAUCGCGUGUCACCAUCGCGCGGUGAUACGUCUCUGCUC